GGUCCCGGUUUCGGACUCAGCGUACCCGCCCUACCUGAGACGAUCACUUGAUCUCGUCUCCCUCAUUUUGGCCACUAGAUGGCCUGCUUCAGCCCGUGUCGGCUGUUAUGGCGCCUCUCCCCAUCAAGUUAAACUUAGCCGGACAUUUCUCUCUUCAGUAGGUAUCUCCAUUCAGUUAAUUACGUUAUCAUGCACGUGAACAUUUCUUCACCAGAAUGCAUUUUAUUUAAUUUAACAACCUUAAAUGGAACAGGCGACGAAACACUGCAAAGUUAUUGCUAGUCGCCGCAAAAAGAAAAAACAAGAAUGCAAUUAUGAGGCAAUCGUGUCACCUAUUUAGGAACAGUGUAGCCACGCAAAUACUUAUAACCGGGUAUGUCACGAUAAUCAGUCGU